CCCAUAAGUCUUUUUAUCUCUUAACUUUUUAACUAUUGGUGUAAUCCAGAUUUACCAGCCACACAUUUCAACUUAAACACAUAUGUUAACCUAUUACACUAGUACUAGUACUUCCAUAAUGUCUCUUUAUUUUCAGAUCUUGUACUUGAAAGCAGCUAACAACAACAAGGCUUCUACAGCACUGACAUUCUUCCUUGAGGCUGUACAGAAGCAUGGAUUUCCAUCGAGAGUGAGGGGAGACCAAAGAGUUGAGAAUGUUGACAUUGCUCGAUACGUGUUUGAAGUUCGGGGCUGUGGUAGAGGAAGCUUUAUGUCUGGCAAAAGCGUGCAUAACCAAAGGAUAGAGCGCCUGUGGCGCGACGUUUGGAAUGUUGUCACCAACAUCUACCACGAUCUUCUUCACAGACUUGAGGAAGACAGAGUCUUGGAUCCAACAAACUGUACUGACCUU